UGGCCACAGAAGUAGGACUCCUGCUCUCAAUCCUUAUUUUUUCUCAACUAAGAUAAUUUGGACAAAAUCACCUCCCUGAAAAGCAAGAAGGAUUUGUCAAUAGAGAAGAGGAAUAGUGGGUCCUGACCAUAUGGGAUAAAAACAAAGGACUUUGUACAAUAUGGAUAAAUGAAGUUAGCAUCCCUGAGGGGCUUCUCAAUUCAGAGAAACUAAAGGAGAAAGAGGACACUUACUGUGAAUCAUUCCCAAACAAUCUAUAGGUUCAAAGGCAGCUGAAAUACCUAGAAGAGAUCACAUGUUGUGAAUAUUAGUAGGGCAUACAAGCAAUGUGAAGCACAUUUUAAUACAGAAGAGAC